CAGCGGGGAGGAAGGCGUUAAGGUUAAUAACCUCAUCGAUUGACGUUACCCGCAGAAGAAGCACCGGCUAACUCCGUGCCAGCAGCCGCGGUAAUACGGAGGGUGCAAGCGUUAAUCGGAAUUACUGGGCGUAAAGCGCACGCAGGCGGUCUGUCAAGUCGGAUGUGAAAUCCCCGGGCUCAACCUGGGAACUGCAUUCGAAACUGGCAGGCUAGAGUCUUGUAGAGGGGGGUAGAAUUCCAGGUGUAGCGGUGAAAUGCGUAGAGAUCUGGAGGAAUACCGGUGGCGAAGGCGGCCCCCUGGACAAAG
rnacentral:rRNA from 1 species